AUUGAACGCUGGCGGCAUGCCUUACACAUGCAAGUCGAACGGUAACAGGUUAAGCUGACGAGUGGCGAACGGGUGAGUAAUGUAUCGGAACGUGCCCAGUCGUGGGGGAUAACUACUCGAAAGAGUGGCUAAUACCGCAUACGACCUGAGGGUGAAAGCGGGGGACCGUAAGGCCUCGCUCGAUUGGAGCGGCCGAUAUCAGAUUAGCUAGUUGGUGGGGUAAAAGCCCACCAAGGCGACGAUCGGUAGCUGGUCUGAGAGGACGACCAGCCACACUGGGACUGAGACACAGCCCAGACUCCUACGGGAGGCAGCAGUGGGGAAUUUUGGACAAUGGACGCAAGUCUGAUCCAGCCAUGCCGCGUGCGGGAAGAAGGCCUUCGGGUUGUAAACCGCUUUUGUCAGGGAAGAAACGAGUUUCUCUAAUACAGAGACUUAAUGACGGUACCUGAAGAAUAAGCACCGGCUAACCACGUGCCAGCCGCCGCCGUAAUAC
rnacentral:rRNA from 1 species